CAUCCAGAACUCAAAUCCUUUGAUUCUGAGCUUCAGCAGAAAACCUCAAAUCUGAUAAACUCGUUCACCUCUGAUGCCAAAACUGGGUUGGUGCCACUGCCCCAACACGCAGCAUACAAGGAGUUCACCAAGCACCUAGCUGAAGUAAACCAACAGGUGUCAGACUACAUCAUUGGAUAUGGAGAAGUAGUGUGGGAGAACUCAACUCUGAGAUCUUUGGUCGAAACCUAUUUUGAAAGUGCCAAGAAGACUUUGGACAUUGCCGAGAAUGUAACAGAAUACGUCGAUGAAGCAAAAAGGGGCGAACGUUACAUUGUAGCGGCCGUGGCACAGUUUGAAAAAGACAAAGAAAAUGAUGUUGGCAAAAAAACGAAGAGGUAUGAAAAUACCUUGAGGGAGCUGAAGAAGUUUGAAGCCAUGGGAAAUCCUUUUGAUGGCGAUAAGUUCACGACUCUGUUCAAGUUGAUGCACAAGGAGCAAGAAUCCCUUCUGGAAAGAGUGAGGGAGACUAAGGAAAAGCUUGAUGAGGAACUUAAAAAUAUUGAGAUGGAAAUAAGUAGUCGAAAGAAAUGGAGUAUAAUUUCGAAUGUGCUUUUCAUCGGUGCGUUUGUUGCUGUUGCCGUCGGAUCCAUGGUUCUAGUAUGUACAGGCGUGGGUGCGGGCGUGGGCGUUGCAGGGCUUCUAUCAUUACCACUGAUUGCGAUAGGAUGGGUAGGCGUCCACACUAUUUUAGAGAACAAGAUUCAAGCUCGAGAGAAACAGGAAGAAGCUCUGAAGAAAGCGCACCGUAUAGCAAACGAAAUGGAUAAGGGUAUGGAAACCGACAAAGUAGAUAUGAAUUCCAUAUCUGGAAAAGUCCACGCGCUAAAAAGCAAGAUCACGUCUAUGUUGAAUGCUGUGAAGGAUGCUACUGAGGAUGGAGCAAAUGAGGUGGACACGAAACAAGUAAUGGAAACCCUUACGGGGGACGUGGUGGAAUUAACAGAGGAUAUCAAAGCAGUUGGUGAUGAUGUGGCAAAAUAUAGCAAAAUGAUCGAAGAGACGAGUUAUCACGUUUUGCAAAAGAUCACUGGUUCUGGAAAAUAAACUUUAUCGAUGUUUGAUGGAAUCGAAGCACCAAGGCGCAGAACAUCAAACAGACGCAGAGUCCAAAACCGGAGACAAUUUUGUCUCAUGGUUUUCUUGGUGUCCGUUUAAUUAUUUCAGUUUUUCUUUUAAGUGUUUGAGUUUUCAAAAAUAAGAGACGACGGUCUUCCUCUCGUCGAGGAAGCUAUCUUCUCCACUUUCCAUUAUUUCCUCGUUUGUAGGAGUCACUGACUCCACUUUUUUCUUCUUGUAAUGUUUUUUUUCUCUUCUUGUAAUGUUUCUCACUUUCUCUAUAAAAAAAAAAUGGCAUUCUUAAUUGCCAAAAAAAAUUCUUGUUCUUAUUAUCUUUCAGUUUUCGUACUUACUCUGAUUCCUCAAGCUUUGACAAAAUCAAAUCUAUCAUUUGGUAUCAGAGCAAAUAGUGUUUGGUCCGAAAUUUUGUUUCGUUUUACCCAUUCCACCCAAAAGAAAAUCAAAGAAAUGUGUUGCCACCACCCACCACUCGAAACAAUGGCUAACACAAAAUAUAAACUUGACGAGCUCGAAAAGGGCAUGGGUUUGGUCAUGGACGUUUUCCACAAAAUGCAAACCAGGUUGGGUAACAAACUUUGUUGUAACAUCCCCAAUUCCAUAAUUAGUAAUUGGGCCAUUUUGUUUAGUUAAAAGAAAACAACCCCAAUAAGCCCAAUAUCUUAUUCCUUAAACGACAUAGGUCAUGGUCGUUUGUGUGUAGAGUAUAUAUAUACAUGUAUAUACUUUCUUUCUUCUUUACGAGCCGUCAUAGAGAAACACAAACCUAAUUCGUGUAUGAACAGACCAGCACAUUGAUCUUUGAGUCUUGAAAAGCUAUAUUAGUGUUCUUGAUGUUGAUGUCGUUCGCUCAUACGAAGGAAGAGAUGGCGGCUGCGAAGUUGUUGUUCUGUUAAGUUGUCAUUACGGUUAUGUGUUGCGUUGUCGUCGGACUCGUGAGGAGGAGAAACAAGAGUCUUGAAGCCACCUUGGAUGUGUUGUGGUGGUGUGUGUUAUUCGGAAAGAGAGAGAAAGGGAGCAGAAGAGAGAGAGAAGUGAGGAGAGGAUAGAGAACAAGCUGUUGCGUAGGUGGUGAAAACAGCUAGUGGGCUUGAUUGGUCAUGGCGUAGCUGUGACAGGCUUCUAUGUUGGUGAAGAGCAAAGUUGGAGCAGAUCAGAGAUGGAGAAGAGAAGAAUAAGAAAGAUGAAAAAGGAAAUAAGAAUAGUGUGGAGGAGGCAACUUUGGAGGCUCGUACAAGUAAUAUCUGACAUAGAUAUGGAAUUAUAAAGGUACUGAAUUGUUCAUUAGCAAACCAAGAGUCUACAGCAACUGAAAGAUCUUAAAUCGGAUUUAAAUGGAAAGAGUUAUGGACAUUGCUUCCUGUGCACGAAACAACUGAAACUGUUCAAACCCAGAAACCCUAAAAGGCAGUCCGAGAUGGCUUGUUGACGGUAACGUUUGGAGGUCGUACUGAUGUCCAAUCUGGCUGAAAAUUAGUUGAGCUGUUCGUGGGAAUACAGGCUACAUAUUCAAUGGUGGGAUUCUGUUAUAAACAGUUAGUUUCUGAUUUAUUUUUGCGUUUCUAAAAAUGUUUGAUAUAGAGCAAAUUAUGAUAAGAUCUAUUGUUUGGUUGGUAAAUGAACUUGGAUGAGCUGAAGGUGAGGGUGAUAAUCACGGAAACACAAUGAUUAUUUUCUAAGCAUGUUCUUCAUGAAUUGCUUGUAUAGGUUUGGAAACUAUGUACUUGUUUGUAUGUUCUUUAUUGAUAGUGUGUGACAUUGAACGAUGAUAUGAUGUAAUAUAGGAAGACUUUAUAUAUAACAUGAUGAUAUACUUUGAGUUAAUGUGUUGGGGCUACGGACCUGAGAUUGGUUUUGCGUAUCGUGAUGGGUGAACCUGAGAUUGGUUUCGUACCUGGAUGUGAUUGUACGAACCUGAGAUUUUUUUUGUGCAUGGUAAUGGGCGAGCGUGAGAUUGGUAUUGUGUCUGGUGAUUGGACGAGCUUGAGAUUGGUUUCAUGCCACACUACGCCGAUGAAAUUUCUAUUUAGCGUUAUUGUUGAAUGAAUUUAUGAUUGAAUAUUUUUAAAAACUUAUGUUGUUAUACGUAUGUUUGAGAACGUGGAGUCUCCUUCCAUGCUAUGCAUUGAUUGUUGAGUGUGAUUAGAAUUUCGCCAUUGUGUUCGCUCUUUUUAUCUUUUCCCUUAGCUUGAUAAGCUUUAUGAGAUGUGGUUUUCUUAGUCGAUUUUGGUUUUGAUCUCUUUUGCCUUUUCUACCUUGAUGAGCAAAAAGGAAGUUUUACAUUCUUCUUCUUAUUUCGUACUCGUCCUUAUAUAAGGAUCCAAUUGGGGUUUGCAAUAUUCAGUUUUUGAUCAAUAAAGAAUAAGGGUUUUACCUUUUAUCAAAGUCUACGAACUUCCUUUGCUUUCUUUGCAAGAAACCAAGAGUUCAUAGCAACAAGUCUUUCUCGUAAACCAUUGAUCUACAGAAAGUUCUUGUUCUCUGCAUUAAAAAAUAUGUGUUUUGGCGGGACCAUUUGAAUAACAUGUUGUUUUUCACUGUAAGACGGGAUGGGUGUUACAUUUGUAGCAUGGAAGAGGCAAACGCCAAAAAAUUCUGAAGACUUGAGGAAUCCAACAAUCAAUAGAAAACUCUAUACCCGGCUAACGGACAUGAUGACGCACAUUCGGAAUGGCGCGCUUACUGCUUACAAUUGGGGCGGAGAGAGGAUGCAGCACCGUCGUUCAUCACACCAGCUCACAACUACCAACAUAUCAAGCUCGAUUACCCUCGGUUUGAUGGCGGUGAUCCCACGGAGUGGUUGAGAAAACUUAAACUAAUAUAUCACCUUUCAUUAGACAUCAAGGGAACAACUUGUGAGCUUUUGCAUCGUAUCAUCUCACAGUGGAAGGAAACCCUUGGUGGAAGGGGAAACGUUUAUGCACGAAUUGUGGGUACGAUUUGGGCCAUCAGAAGGUGAGAUUUUUCACGAAGCGUUGUCUAAAUUCGUCAAACAGGGUGCUCACGAUUAUUCGUAUUAACGCAAAAUCUAACCCCAGAUAUGUAAAACAUAAGCCAAGGAGUUUGAGAGAUAAAUGAACAUGGUUGAGAUAGACUUGUUGUGUCUAUGAAUCAGAUAGUCCUUUAUUUUUCUCUUUCUUUUAUCCAAGCUUCUUAAUAUAUAGGGUUGUCGCUUCUUUUAAGUCUGCCUGCCACAUGUUACUGUUUCGUUGAAAUCAUUGGAGCCAUACCAUUUCUCUGUAUAAUCCUCUUGACGGUAUCUCGUUCAAUAUAAAUUAUGGCUUAAUCAAUCAGAGUUUGUAACACCUUGAAUAAGUGAGAAGUGAUGACAAUAAGCUUGUAUUUUAGGAACAAUCAGAAUUAUUCUCUCUCUUUUUUUUUUUUUUGCUAACAACAAAUUUAUUCUCUGUUUUGCAAAUCCAUUUUUAAAAAGUUCUUGCUUCAAAAAAAAGAAGAUAAAUUUACUUUUUUUUUUUUUUUGAUAUACCCUAUUGGCUAAUCUGGUCAGCUUCGGUAGAAACGCACCGAAGUACUACAGAGUGGACUUCUCCCGAUUCGGGUAGAAUUGGACUACCACACUCUCUGGUCCGAGUUUGGAAUGCCUUCCGACUAAUGCCAAGGGAUAAUCAGACCGCCUGCCUUUCUGACUACCAGGUAAACCAAGUACGUCAAUGCCCAACUGACAGACUUUUGAUUACAAACCUUGUUUGGCUUGAUCAAAUAUUUCAUCAUACUACACUAGUUGAGAAUUCUUUUGAGAAUUUGUUGUUCUCAGAGCGGGAGUAUACUUAGUUUGAGAAUUCUUUUUCCGAUAGCAACAAUUAGAAAACUUGUUCUGUUGUUUGUACCGAUUAAUAUUCAAAGAUUAUUACAAUUUUAAAAACUUAAUAGAUAUUGCAUAAUUAUAUAUAGACAUGUUUUCUAUAUACAUCUGUCUAGUGAAUCAUUAUUAUUUUUAUGUGUAAUUUUUUUAUCCAUAACAAGUUUUUGACAUUGUUGCCUAGGACCAUUUAGCAAGCGCCCUUAGGUUUUAGAUUUAAAUUUCGCUCUCUAGCCUCCAAACACAUAGCUUAUGCCCUAGACUUCUAUCAACAUUGGUCACAUAGAUUAUGUUCAAUUGUUAAAUCUGUAGUGAGCUAUGACUUCUUCUCCUAUUCCUCCCCAAACAUGAGCGACCAUAAUGAAGUAUGUAAGUUUUGGUGCAUAUGGAAAAUCCACGAUCGAUUCCAAUUGCUUUGCAAACAAGUUUGAAAGUUGUGAAAAUCUUUAUUGGUAAUUUGGCGAGUAUUAUCGCCAAUAGAUCCUCUGGUAAGGAAUCUAAGAUUCCUAUCUCUCUGUUUCAAUAAGAUUAAUUUUUUGGAUGUUGUAAAUUUUGUACUCUUAUUAGACUUGAAAAUUUAAUAUUUUGGAGAAACAUCUUUUGGCAGUAAGUAAUGAAGAUUAUAGUCGAAUUCACUUACACAAACAAUUUAAAUUCAAAUUUAUAAUUGAUGAUUAUAGUAUUCAUCUUUUUUAGUAACGUAUAAGACUAUCAAUAUAAAAAGUAUGUAUAUUCAGAAGUUUAAAAGUUAUUAAAUAUUUUGGCUACUUGUAUUAUAAAUAUGUUGACAGUGCUAUAAGACAUAACAUCGUUUGAUAAAUAAAAGCUAUUGAUGAAUUCUAAUAAUAAUCUCUUCUAAAAAAUAAUGAAAAACAUAUUUUAAUACAUUAUAUAUAAAUUUACAUAAUUAUAAUUUAUGAUAUUUAAUUAGAUUAUGUAUCUACAUAGAAAUUUAAAAACAAAUUGUUAUUUUAUCUUCUUCAUCUCUUUUAGACACUUCAACAUGCUUUGUUUUAGAUCUCCAAGAUCUUCAUCUUUAAGAACCUUUAAUGAAAAUAUCUUCCCAUCGAAGGCUUCCACCUUAAAAAAACACCACUAAAACCAAUAGAAGCUCGAUCGACCCAACCAUCUUUGAAACUUCACUUGCUAAGAAUUCAAACCAAAUUAAAUAUCGUAUGAAAAUUGUAGAAAAUUUACAAUUUCGUCAUGUUUUUUUGUUGUGGUGGCGUAAUUCUUUGAGCCUCCUUCUUUAAGGUGUUCAGUUUGAGUUUCAUGCUAACCGAGUUUCUAUGUUUAAAGUUCAGAUUUAGUUGUUAAGGUAGCAUAAUAAAUUAGUUGUUGUUUUACAGAAAAAAUAAUAAAUUAAUUGUUUAGCAUACUAAAAGAAAAAGGAAAAAACUGGAAAACAUUCCAGAGAAAAAGCUACCAUAAUUCUUUCAUGGUCGUUAAGUAGCGGAUUUGAAUCUACAAACAGUAUAAAUAUGGAGUAUUUUAAACUAAUUAAAUGAGAUAUUUUUCUUCCAACCAGAAAAAUUAUGAAUUAAAUGUUCAAAUAAAAGAUAGAUAAGAUAUUUUUGGAAAUUAAAUGUUCAAAUAAAUGAUAGAUAAGAUAUUUUGUUCAAAUAAAAGAUAGAUAAGAUAUUUUUUGGAAAUUAAAUGUUCAAAUAAAAGAUAGAUAAGAUAUUUUUUGGAAUCAUGGAAUCACUCACUCUCACAGAAUCACAUGGCAUCCUAAUAAUUUAUUCGAUUUAGAAAUCAUAUUAAUUAAACUAUAAUUUAAUAAUAGUUAGUUGAUCACAUGUUUUCUCUAAUAUUUUAUUAGAUUACGAAUCAAAUUAAAAAAAUUUAUUAUAUAAAGUAUAGUUUUCUAAGUUAGCAACUCACCUGACUGUGACAAGUGUCAAAUCUAUUGAUCUAAGAUUUUGACACAUGUUUCAAAAAACUUUUCCUUUUUAAUAAUUAAAAAAAAAAAGUAAAUAUAUAAUUAUAAGAAAAAUAUAUAUCUAGGCAGAUUUUAAAAUGUAAAAAAAAAAGCUAUUAGGAAAACCAUAAGAGUUUUGGCCAGUAGGAAACGAAAAUUUUGUUUUUAACAAUUAAAAGUUGAAAAUGAUAAUUAUAACAGAAUUAUAAAUAUAAACAGUUCUACAAAUAUAAAAAAAAAUAUUAUAAGAAAACUAUACAUAUAAAAAAAAUUAUAUGUAUAUUUUUCAUAAGACAAAUAGAAAUUAUAAUUUAGUAAGUGUACAAGAAAUAAAAAUUUAAAAUAGAAAAAGAUUAAGAAAAUUAUAUAAUCACUUAUUAUUCAUAUACGAAAAAGGAUUGUAAAUACUCACUUCAAUAUAAACAUAUAGAUUACCUCAUAAUUUCUCGCCAAACAAAUUAAUUUCUUUAGAAACACCAUCAUUGCUUUAACUUCAUUUUAUUUGUAUAACAUUUUCUUUUGUUGGAUCACAAAUUAUUUUUUGGAUAGUAUUAGUAACUAACCUUUGACUCAAAAAUAAUUAUAAAAAAAUACUCAUGAGUCAAAAAAAAUUGAAAUGUAAAAAUUCAAAAUAGCCCUCAUACAAAAGACAAACAUAGAACGCGUAUUGUAAUUUGGAGAAAAUAAAUGAAGUAAAUAAUAAUAACCCAAAAUCUAUUAAAAAAAAAUCAUUAUUGAAAAUUUGACAACGAAAGAGACAACCAAAAAUAUCAUUUAGUAAAAUCAUAUCAUACUAAAAGAAAUAUGAGUAGCAUGUGAUUGUUAUGGAGGUGAUAAUGGUGAUGGUGGAUGGUUACGAAGGUGGUGAUAUGGUGAUUUAAAAAAGAAAUGAAUCAUAUAAAAAUUACAUUCUUUUAUCGUAUGUUGGAAACAUAUCAUGUCGUUUAUAUUUUUUUAGAAAAAUAAUUUGAAUCAAAAUGGUUUUCUAAAAAUAGCAUGUGAUAUUCAGAUUCAAGGAAUAUAUAGUGAUGGAGGCAAAUUAAAAAUUAUGAACGGCGAUGGACACAGACUAGAGUUGUUGUCGGCGAGACUCGGCUGGAUGUUGGAGGAGAUAAAGAAGGCAAAGAAAUAAGAGCAAUUAGAAAAGAGAAGAAAAGGCUUUGAUUAUUUGUUAUUUAUUUUUAAUAUUAAUUAAGAUAUAAUUUGAUCAGAUACACAUAUUAUGUAAAUAUAAAAAUCUAGAAGUUUUUAUUAAGAUGAAGUGUAUAAAAUAAAAAUUCAGUAUAUUAUGAUGAAAUAGAUAGUUAAACUGUAUUGCAAAAUGAAAUGAACUAGAUUUUAACUCGCGGUAUAUCGCGGGACGAUUUAUUUUUUAAAGGUAAUAUAUAUUAAAACUUACAAAUUUUAUUUUCAUAAAAUAUUUAUAUUUUACAGUUUAUAAUUGUUAAUAAGUAACGCUAUACCAUGAAACCAUGAGACAAUUGUUAAAAAACUGAAGUUUUAACCCUUAUUAAAACAACAGAUUAAUAAUAUUUUAAAAUUUUAUAAAUAUUGAUUCAAAUACAUCCACCAUAUAACCCAAUUCCAAAAUAAAACCCGUUCGGUAAUUUCUUUACCCGUCCCGUGAUUUUUUUUUAAGUAAUAAUUUUUAAAAUUUAAGAAUUAUUUAUUAUAUAUAAAAGUUUUUCAAAUUGUAUCAUUCUCUAAUACAUUUAUAUUUUAUAGUUUAAUUUUAUAUAUAGUAACAUUAUACAUACCACAUAACAUUUUUGGUUUUAUAUAACCUUUAUAAAUUAGGAUGAUUUGAUAUGUUUAAUAUUAGUGGUCUUAAAAAAUAAUAAAUUAAAGAUUUAACCCGUAUUGAAACAGUGGAUUAAUUAUAUUUUACUUUUUUAUUAAUGUUGAUUCAAAAACCCGUCCCUCCAAAUCCGUCUUGCCAAAAAACUAUUUAUUUUAUUAAUAUUAAUUUUAUUUAUGAUAUGACUCUUAAUUAUAAUCUAAACAUUUUAGCUAAUAACAUAGGAGUGCACCAUAUUUAUUUAAUAGGGGAAUGUAUCAUAUGACCCGAAUAUAGUAGUUAAAUAUUAGUUAGUUUAAAUUAGUUAAAGAAUACAAAUUGAAAAUGUAUAUUACACUUUAUUCGAAAAUAGUAUCAAAAUUUAUAUAACACAGAGAUUUGAUAAUUUUUUAAUUGUUGAAUACUUUUUUUUUGUGCUAAUUUUUAUGUGAUUAAGAUUUAAUUGAUUUCGUAUGUAAAAUAUUAAAUUGUUUUACGAACUUAUUUGUUUAUAAUUUGGUAACAGAUAGAUAUUUAAAUAUUCGAUAUAUUUUGCUUCAGUUUAGAAAAUCUUUGAUGACCCGUCUUUAGAUCCAAUAAGCCCUAUAAUUAAGAAAUAAAUAUUGUUGUUAAAUGAUUUUGGUAACCUUAAUGACGUAAUUAAAAGAUUUUUUUUUUGAUUAAAUUUUUCUAUUGCCAUUGUCAUGUAAUUAAUUACAAAAAUUAAGGUUACAUUUAAAAUGUACUUCCCAAAUAAUAUAGUAGGAUAGAUUGAAAAUUUGUCUAGAAAAUAAAUACUAAUAGAAAAUAUGUGUGAUUUACUAUUUGAAAUUCAGAUAGCAUUGAUCAAAUAGAAUGUAUAGAAUUAAAAUACAGUUUAUUAUGAUGAAAUAGAUAGUGAAAGUAUAAAACACAAUAGAUUAUCUAAAAUUACAAUUUUUUAAAAACAAAAACUACUCGAUAAAUGUAUGUUAAUCAUGCAUAACUAUUCAAUUAUUUAGGAUUAACAUAUCGAUAUCAAAAUAAGUAGAAAAACACGUGGAUGCGUAUGUUAGUUGAGAUGUUUUGAGGAUAAGGACCAUAGGGUGGACAUGAACUAUAUGUUAAUCAUACAAGUCGAUAUAUAAACUAUUAUACUAUUAAUUCUGGCGACAUUACACAUGCAUAGACAUAAAUGUCAUCCUAGAAAUGACAUUUUUACCUACAAACUUAUAAAUGUCAUUUAUAAAAUAGGCCCUUUAACAAAAAAAAAAAUGUCAUUUAUAAAAUAAAAGCAUGAUAAGUUGUAGGAAUCCAGCAAUAUAUAAUAUGAGAUGAUGAUGGUUCAAAGAACACAUGGCUUCAUGUGAUAUUUCACUUAUAUUAUCAUAAAUAGUUUCAUGAUUAAUAUAUAGUUGCAUGAUAAUCAUACAAUUAAUUAACUAGUGUAGUUUAUUUUACUUUAUAUUCUGAAAAGAAUCAAACAAUGUUAAUAUAAUAAAUCAUUAAGUCACUUAUACAAAAUCACGUCUUCCCUAAUAUUUGAUUCUAUUAUGAAUCAUAUCACUUAAACUAUAGUUUAAUACUAAUAGUUUAGUUAAAUCAUAUGUCUUCUUUCAUAUUUUAUUCGAUUAGGAAUCCAAUUAAAAUAUAGUUAUUAAUAGUUAAUUAGACAGGUUUGGAAAAUUAAAGUUUUAAAUUAUUCGGGCUAGAAAUUUUCAGCAGAAUCAUCUCUUGAUCAAUAAUUUAGUGUUUAUAUUAGUUAGAAAAUUAAAACUUAUUUCUUCAGAUUUGUUUAUAGUUUUGCUUAAUACUUCCAUGUAAAUAUAGGAUCCGUACACUUAAGAAUUUAUUUAUUUAGAAAUAAAGCUCUCAACUUAAAGUAUUUUAAUAAAUUUAAUAAGUAAAAUAGUGUAUGAAAGUAGAGAUAGAUAAGUAGAAAAUAGUAAAUUAUUUGUUUUUAGAUAAAAAUAUAUGUGUCCCUUAUGUAUUCGGGAACCUCAUAUUCAUACAAUAAUUUUUACAUUUAUAGAUGAUUAAAUACAUUGGCUUCGAGAACCAACACCAACAAUUAGCUCCCCUAGUCCUUCGAGCUUACACACCAGUUGAGAGGACAUUAUUUCCUUAAUAACGAAGAAUGCAUAAUAUGAUCUCUAUUCUCAUAAUAUUUUCUGUUUAACUUAAUUCGAAAUCGUUAAUCUAUUGUGUGAUCUCAGAACUUUGUGAAAUUUUAAUGUAUUAAAAAAAUAUAUUUUAAUAUAUUAUAUAUAAAUUUACAUAAUUAUAAUUUAUGAUAUUUAAUGAGAUUAUAUAUCUACAUAGAAAUUUAAAAACAAAUUGUUAUUUUAUCUUCUUCGUCUCUUUUAGACACUUCAACAUGCUUUGUUUCAGAUCUCCAAGAUCUUCAUAUUUAAAAAAUGACGACAUUACUUUCGUAAGGAAGUAGGUUUUAGAAUUUCGGACUCCUUUCGGUUUAUUAUUCAUUUUGUCGGUCCUAAAGAGCGAAUACUAUGUUUACGCGAUCCUGUUUUGGUUGCUUUUUUAUUUGUAUCAUGCCCCAUUUCAUUCUCUGAGACUAUUUCCAAAAGUAACUAGCUCAUCAUCCUUACCGAGAUCAGACUCAAUGGAUUCACCUUCUUCUCGAGGGUCUUGAAUGGAAAGGGACAUGUGGUCAUCAAUCAAAGUCUCCUCCUCAUCCUUAUUGCUUAAUAGACUGAAAUCAGUUGAUGAGACUACAUCAGUGACUUGCUUCUCUGGUUUAUUCUUUCAUGUGGGAGAUCAAUGUGGAUUUUUACGAGUGACCGCAGUUUACUGGUUCUUUUCCACUUUCCUCUCCCCCCCGGUCUACUAUUUCACCCUCCUCUGUCUUGUCUCUGUUGUGGACAAGAACUCAUGAUACGACCUUGAAUUGGUCUGAAUUUAUCUUGACUGUCUCUUGCGGUAAAACUGAAGGUGAGAACUCGGUUAGUAAAAUGUUUUGUGAGCCUUCCAGUUCAAGGAUAAAGCCUCUUGCCAUUUUCUCUACUGUAGCUUUGUCAACAACAUUGGCCUUGUCUCCACACCUGUAAAAGACUGCAUUGUGGAGGAAGUCAAGGGUAGCUAACCAGAACCGUCACGGUCUAGCCUGAAUCAUCAAAAUUAAUCUAGUUCACCAAUGGUUUUUAUAGGUUGACUUCUACCAGCACUCUCGCCACAUCCAAACGAAUACACCACUCUGUAUUCGGGUACAGUUUAACAAAAUUGCCUUUAGUACUCGAUAGGAAUCUAAGACCCUGGUGCAAAAAGAGAUGCGGCGGAACGUCUUUGAGGUCCACCCACAAAGGCAUGGCCGACUGAUCUGAGGGAUAUUGUGCAGUUGCAGGAUUCCAAAUACUAAUGACUAUUGGGAUGUUUGCAAUGUGCCAAUAGCGACGCUUCAAAACAUGGUUUCAGAUCUGAUCGCUCUCUAUGAAAGCACAAUUGUUGUUUUGUUUAAGAACUAAACAUCAAUCCUUGAGGAUUUUUCAGUGACAAUCUGUAACAUCCCCGAUCCGAACUAGGAUCGAGGGGAAGGGCUGGGACGAGACUUAUAGAGAGUCGGGCGAGAAAACUCGUCCCAAGUCCCGGAGAAGGGCGGCCAAAUCGUGUGAACAUGAAUGGCCAAGAGCCCGAGGGAAAGAAGUGAGAAUAAAUAGCUCGGAAAGCUAAGUGGGAAGCUGGAGCAGCUCAAGGGAAGCUCGGGGAAGCUCAGCCACCUCAAAGGGAAGCUCGGCCAGCUCCACUAGCUCGACUUAGCUGGAAGGGGAGUGAGCCGGUUACUCGGACGGUUGUCGGACGGUUGUCGAACGGUUUCCCCGGCAGUUACCUUGAGCGGUUACCCGGCGGUUACCGGCGAUUACCAAGGCGGUUCCCGGGCCAUAAGGACGCGCCACGUGUGUGGUUGGGAAGGAAGCGCCCUGAAGGAUCCGAAAGGACCUAGAGGCGCCCGUUCGCAAGGGCGGUUAUUCGCCCCUUCCUUAUAAAUAACUCGCCCUUCAGCCAAGGAAAAACACAAGUCCAUAUACCGAAACUCUCACCAAAACUCAGAAAAGAAACGUGAUCUUUCUAAGGGUGCGAACGAACGGAACAAGAUGACCGAGAUUUAGAUCAUGGGCACUCCCGGCACCACUGGGCCGACGGAGGCCGAGGAAGCGAAUGGUCGAACGACCAAGGAUAUGACCAAGUUCGUGGGAAGGAUAUGGCUUAGCGGCAAGGAUGGUUGUCCGGGCAAGUGGGUGGUGUUUAAGUUAAAGUAUUGGAUCGAAUGAUUAUAAUAACCUAUAGUGCAAACACUCAUGUCGUUCGAAACCUUAUAUGAAUAAAGUUGGCUUGUUUCUUUAUGUGAAUUCGUCUCUUUUUUUACUUAUGAAUCUCAGAAUUUCCGCUGCCAAUUACACUUAGAGCGAAUUCGGAUAAGACCUGAGGACACUUGAGUUGUCCUCGGAUGGGAACAACCUCACCGGGCGGACAGCCCGGGAUGGGACGUUUCACAAUCCAAAUGUGAUUCAUAGUCAAGUGAAUAAUUCCAACGUGCAGGGCAUCACCCAUAAAAACACCGACAAUAAAACACUUCCACAACGACACUGAUGCACCCACUACUUUUCCUGAAAUUGUGACUUUCGCGACUCUAUUUUCAACAACAAAGUCUAAGAUUUCCUUUAGCCAAAAAGACCCAUGGGUCUCUUAUGGGAGGAGAGUCUGCUUGCGACGACUGAGUUGGAGAGGGAAGAGAAGGAGAAGACGCCAUCGGCAGCGCCGGAGACUCCAUCGGAGGGGGAAAAUCGCUACCUUACAAGGGAUGCUAGACGAUGGGAGCGACUAGGGUUUAUGCUUCAAAAAACUUAAACUUUCAUAUUUCCUUUGGGAUAAUUUUAAAACCUUCUAUCCGAAAUAGAGUGAUAUAGAUGCCGUGAUUUCUUCAAGAACUCCCUAACUUCUUCUUGGUAAACUGAACAAGUAGUCAGAGUAUUUGUAAAUUUAAAAGUUUUCAUGAUUGGUACGACACUGCUGAACUCAAGGAAGCAUUAGUAAGUCUCCUGAAAAGGAACAAAUCAUCCUUUGCCUGGUCAGCAGAAGACAUGUCUAGCAUCUGCCCAAGUAUAAUUUGUCACGAGUUAAAUGUCAACUUAAGUUUCAAGCAUGUAAAGCAAAAACGAAGAAAGCUCGGGACAGAAAGGGCACAAGCAGUAAAUGACGAAGUGGAUAAACUUCUGAAGAUAGGUUCAAUAAGAGAAGUCCAGUAUCCGUAGUGGGUGGCCAAUCUGGUUGUCAUCAAGAAGAAAAAUGGAUAGGAUAGGGUGUUUAUCGAUUUCACAGAUCUAAAAAAAGCGUGCCUAAAGGAUGCUUUCCGUUUUCGCAUAUUAACCGACCAAGGUAUUUAUUAUUAUAAGGUAACGCCUUUCGGCUUAAAGAAUGCAGAAGUAACUUAUCAACGCUUGGUGAAAAAAUGUUCCACACACACCUCAAAAAGACAAUGGAGGUGUACAUGACAUAAUGUUAGUCAAAUCAUUAAAAGUUUAUUUGGGAUGAGAAGUAUGAAGUAGCAUUUGGGCAGCUAAAAGCUAAAAGCAUACCUAAGCACCUCGCCAGUUUUAUCAAAACUCAAAAGUUGAAUUCAAAAGCAUAUUUGGGUAGAACUCUGCGAGUACGAUAUUGAAUUCAAAAGUUGGGUGAAUAUGAAGGUUCAAGUCUUAGCUGAUUUCUUGACAGAGUUACCAAUGCAUAGCUCGAGCGAAUGAUGCGUGUUCUAUUUCGCCUUAGGCUUUUACCUGAAAGACUACAUGACUACUGUAAGUGCAUAACAAAUCCUAACUACGGAGGUGGGAUUCGAUCCCUGAUUAAUAAGGAUAGUACAUCCACAUUUAACCACCAGACUAAGCUAAUUCAUUUGUAACGAAUAAAAAAUUGAUUGUAUAUAUAUUCUUAAACACUAUGGGUUAAAUUUUAACUUCAGUUAGACCAUCCGUUAAAGAUAUCUGCUUUUGUCAAAAUUUAAAGAAACGAAAGUUUUUAAAGGACAUAAAAAUUAACUCAAGUAUUGUUCGGAAAACUUUAAUAAUGCAGAUAUUAGACGGAUAAAUUAAAAAUAGAUGACGAUUAUUCCGUGUUUUUUCUCCCAGAAAAUAUAAUACAUUUAAACGUGUUUAAACGUGUUAGUAUUAGUGUCAUUUAAGUGUGUUUUACCCGUUUUAUAUUGUUCUAGCAUACUGUGGAUUCUAGCUUUUGGCAUAUAAAAUUUUGGAACUCCCUAUCCUUCAAGUCUCAUAUUAGUAUCAAAUUUUCAAUGACAUAAUUUUCUUAUAACUUGGAACCUAAAUUUGGGAUAUCACACAAUAUACAUACUGUCUUUUUGUUUUUUUUUGUUUUUCUUUUUGCUUUCGAAAAACCACACAAUAUAUUUAAACGACUGUAACAUUUUAUAUAAAUAUAAACACAUAUAAACAAUUAAAUAGUCAUUUCUACGUUAAGGUAUUUCAUCUUUUUACAGCCGUCGUCUACAUAUGGUUGUGGUAUAGAGCGGUUGAGUCCAUUUCUUGUUGUUUGAUAGCUAAAGAAAGCUAUUGUCUACUGUCUUGUGUGCUUGUCGUUAAUUCGUCUGCAACUUCAUGCUAAAUUAGGUACAACUUAUACAAUAUUUUAAUUAUUUAAUAUUAUAUACCACGUGUUGAGUAAAAUAUUUUCUGGUCGAAAAUUCGAGAAAUCUUAUCUGGUCCCAAUCCAAUUUAUACCGACGUGAAAUCUCAACACGUACAUAACAUUUUGAUAACAAGAUCACUGGUAUAUCAUCAUAAGAAGAUCCUUCACAAUAAAUAUUUUUGGCGAAAAAGAAUUUUUUUUUUCCUAUGAUAAAGAACUCGUUACACCAAACAUAAAAAGCCAAAACCAAAAGAAUGUUGGUACUCAACAUACAAAUAUACCGAACUCACAUUUUUGGUGUGUAGAUAAAUAAGUCUAACAACCUCCAUUAGGUAUUCCGAUAUUUUGCUUAAAAAUUAUUAGAAGAAGACCCACGCUAUGCAUGCUAAUAAUUUAAAUAUACUUUCGCGUAAAAAACACUAAAUUAAUGUAACUUAAAAACUUAUUAGAACAUGUAUUUUAAAAUAAAAUGAUGUAAAAGAGAUAAUAGUAAGAAAUUUUGUUAACUGAAAAAUCCUAAUUUGUUUGAUUUUUUUAUUUAUAUAUUUAGUAGUUAAGUUAAAAUUUAUUGGUUUGUUAUUAUUUUUUGGUAAACUGAUAAUAUAUGCCAUUACAAUUUUAAAAUAUAUUUUUGGCAACCAAAAAGUAUUAGUAUUUAUUUGCAUUCAUAUAUACUAAAUAAAACAGAAACAUAUAUAUUUUACUCCCAUCCCACAUAAACUAAUUUAGGUAAAUUAAUUUUUAAAAUUUAUAAAUUUUCGAAGUAGGUAUUUAAAAUGUAGCAAGUUAAACAUCAUUAGGAGAUCAUUUAUAUAAUUUAUGAUCCAUUAAUCACAAAAUCAUUGAUUAAUAUUAGGAUGGUAAAUAUUUAUUUUAAAGUGAAAAGAAAACAAAUAAGACAAUAUUACGCAUAUCAAAAAAAAAAAUUAUUAGAUCAUAUUAUGUAUGUGAACUGUCGACUUUAAAAUGUCUUUUACGAUCAUUUUAAAGUUGACAGUUAACAUACAUAAUAUGAUCUAGUAUUUAAUAUAUAUAUAUAUAAUAUUUAUUAAAAAUUGCUACUAUAAACAUUACUAAAAUACUAGGUAAUCACCCACGUUACCGUGGAGAUUUUGUUUGGUUUCAUGUUUUGUUUGAUUUAAUAUCAUGUUUUAAUAAAUAUAAUGUUUAGCAGCAAAACUAAACAAGUUAAGCAAAACGACAAAUUUGGAGUCAGACUAUACCUUCAGUGUCGACCAACACUAGGAAAGUGUCGAUCAACACCAUUCACAACCCAGCAAGUCUUGACGGCUUAAAGAUUAGAACAUCCUAGAAUUGCUCGAGAAGGCUUUCCUAUUUACAUUAUUAGUCCUUGUAUGUUUUAAGACAUAAAUAUUCUUUCAGGUCAUUGUUUAGACCUAUUAAGUUAUCUUCUCUUUUAACUUUUGCUCUGCAACUCUUUGAGAUUUUUAGAGACUUCUUCAGAGAUUUCAAAACCUUUAGAGAGAAAAAUCUUUUUUAAACUCUAUUCUCUUUUUUAUUUCUUUAUGCAAUAUUAUUCAAACAUGUUUUCAGUUACUCUGAUCUGUCUGAGUAAUCUCCUUGUUCGGUAUAGAUGAAUUAAUAAAUCAAUAACCUGUUAUGAUUUUUUUAGAGUUCUUCAUCUUUGAUUGUUCUUAUUGUUAGUUCUAGAAUAGCUAACUAGAACUUGAUCUUACGUUAAUAGGUACGAUCCGAGAGGACGCUUAUUACUAGAACUAUCUUAGGUGGGCAUAAGUAACUAGAUACGGAUAUGUCUGGUCUAUAUAAUUAUGUGAGCAUAUCAAACCAGAGUAUAUUGCUUGCUUAGUUGUAGGGGUUUGCAACGAGAGUUUGAUUCAAUACUAUUACGCAUAAUAGUCAACGCAGCGAGAGUUGGUUGGUUAUAGCAUAGUGAUUUGAGUUUUAGAACGGUUCAGUAAUAAUCCUAAUUAACUGUUAGAUCUACUAUUAAUCUAUUUCCCAAGAAUAUCCCUAAACCCGACUCUUUCAUCCAUCAGACAACAAUUUAAAUUACUUUUUCUGUUUUUUCAUAUCUAGAAGACAACAUCAAAACUUUUUGAUGCAAUAAAAUAUUAGAAAUAAAUUCAAACAAGAAUAAAUGCGAAUUUAAGCCAAAAAAAAAAUACUAGGAUUAUAUUUCACCAAAGUUUCUUACAUAUAAUAUAUACAAUUAUAAAUAUCAAAUAAAUAUAUAAUUGAUAUAUUCAUACAAAUAAUUAAUUUAUGAUAUUGAUCAUUGAUGGGAUUAAACGAUUAAUAGGAUUUUCAAAAAAUAUAUUAUCGUAUUAUAUUAUUGACUUGUGUUAUGUUUUACGCAAGUUUCAACUUGAAACGAUAUAAUUUAUUAUUUUGUAGAGGUAUUACUGUAUACAACUUAUAAAGUUGAUUUUAGGAAUAUAUAUGUAUAUUUAUUUAUUUAAUUGAGGUUAUAGUUGUAACUUAGCCAACACAGGUUUCUCCUAUGUUCUUCUAUAAAUACUUGUAGAUCACUAACCUAACUAAUCAUUCAAACUUCAACUCUCGCUAAUACUUGAAAGCUCAAAAUAUCCUCUUGUAUUCUGAUCAAAUUUCUGGUAAUUUUCUCUCUUUUAAUCUCUAACUCAUUUUGAUUCUUAUAUAUAUGUUCAUAUUUCUGAUUUUUAGCCAAUUGUCGGUAUUUUCUAUUUAUUAUCAUAAUUUUCUUUUUCUUCGUGAAUUUUUUACAAGUAAAUGUAUAUUUUUUCUCUGUUCUGAAUAUUAUAUAAGUGACUAAUCAAAAAAUUUAGAAAAGAUUGUUUCGAAAUAUCUUAUUUGGGAAGCUCGGUGUAUCCAAAACUCUGUCCUAAAUCUCUCUACAUUUUUUUGAUUUUUUUUUCGUUUUAGUAAUAUCAUCGAUGGUGCUAUCCAAAGAGAAUAUGUUGAAAUACUCGGCACACCUUCGUGCUUACAAUUCCGCAUGUGGAGACCAUCCAGAACUCAAAUCCUUUGAUUCUGAGCUUCAGCAGAAAACCUCAAAUCUGAUAAACUCGUUCACCUCUGAUGCCAAAACUGGGUUGGUGCCACUGCCCCAACACGCAG
rnacentral:lncRNA from 1 species